rnacentral:rRNA from 1 species
GCUUAACACAUGCAAGUCGAACGAAGUAGCAAUACUUAGUGGCAGACGGGUGAGUAACAUGUGGGUAUCUGCCCUUUGGCCUGGAAUAACACGAGGAAACUUGUGCUAAUACCGGAUAAGUCUUUACGGAGAAAGCUUUAUGCACCAUUGGAUGAGCCCGCACUUGAUUAGUUUGUUGGUGGGGUAAUGGCCUACCAAGACUGUGAUCAAUAGCUGAUUUGAGAGGAUGAUCAGCCACAUUGGGACUGAGACACGGCCCAAACUCCUACGGGAGGCAGCAGUGGGGAAUCUUGCACAAUGGAGGAAACUCUGAUGCAGCGAUGCCGCGUGAGUGAAGAAGGCCCUUGGGUUGUAAAGCUCUUUCGUCGGGGAAGAAAAUGACUGUACCCGAAUAAGAAGGUCCGGCUAACUUCGUGCCAGCCGCCGCGGUAAUA